GCAUGUGUGUGACCUUCCGUGCUUCGUGAACGCUUCUGGAUUUCAGUAAAACGCCUGCCAGUGUUUGGAAAAGAAAUACAUUAUUUAAAAGCCUGUGGCCAAUCUUGCCUACUGGGAUAUUAGGGAACAAACUUAUAGUUACGCCUCGAGGUAGGAGAGAAUGAAAAAGGUGGAUGUGGGGAUCACUGAAGAGGCAGACAACAUGGGGCUCAUGUUGGCCACUGAGUGGAGCCCCAAUAUUCCCUGAAGAGAGUGGACUCUAGAUUCUCUAGACCCUCUAUGUGAGGUUCUGCCUCUACUCGAUGGUCCUGCAUAGAGAUGGAAUGCAUUUGGACUCUGUCGCUUGUAUGCGGUGACUUUGUUCCUGUUCCCCAGAAGGUGUGUGGCAUUUGGAAGUCACUCUCCCUCUCUGUGGUUCUUUGGAAGACUCUAACACAGUUUGCGAUCUAGACACCAAAGACUGAAAUCCCCAGAGAGCCAUCCUAACACACGCCCUCCCCUUCCAUCAAGUUCUUCCCAUGCACAGUAAUUCCUAGUUAAGG